rnacentral:tRNA from 1 species
GACCCGGUAGCUCAAUUGGAUAGAGCGGCAGCCUCCUAAGCUGUAGGUCGUGCGUUCGAUUCGCACCCGGGUCACCA